rnacentral:rRNA from 1 species
UAGGGAAUCUUCGGCAAUGGACGAAAGUCUGACCGAGCAACGCCGCGUGAGUGAAGAAGGUUUUCGGAUCGUAAAACUCUGUUGUUAGAGAAGAACAAGGACGUUAGUAACUGAACGUCCCCUGACGGUAUCUAACCAGAAAGCCACGGCUAACUACGUGCCAGCAGUCGCGGUAAUACGUAGGUGGCAAGCGUUGUCCGGAUUUAUUGGGCGUAAAGCGAGCGCAGGCGGUUUCUUAAGUCUGAUGUGAAAGCCCCCGGCUCAACCGGGGAGGGUCAUUGGAAACUGAGAGACUUGAGUGCAGAAGAGGAGAAUGGAAUUCCAUGUGUAGCAGUGAAAUGCGUAGAUAUAUGGAGGAACACCAGUGGCGAAGGCGGCUCUCUGGUCUGUAACUGACGCUGAGGCUCGAAAGCGUGGGGAGCAAACAGG